CAGAAGGGAGGCAGCAGGGAGGAAUAUGAGUCAAUGGAAAAGAGUCUGAACCCUCCCCCCCUCUUUCCGUCUUCCUUCCCUCUUUUUUUUCCCCUUCUUUUCUCUUUUAAUAAAAUGUUCCACGUGUGGGAUUUUGUAUGUACCAUAUGAAUAAGGAUCGGCUAACUCCGUGCCAGCAGCCGCGGUAAUACGGAGGAUCCGAGCGUUAUCCGGAUUUAUUGGGUUUAAAGGGAGCGUAGGUGGAUUGUUAAGUCAGUUGUGAAAGUUUGCGGCUCAACCGUAAAAUUGCAGUUGAAACUGGCAGUCUUGAGUACAGUAGAGGUGGGCGGAAUUCGUGGUGUAGCGGUGAAAUGCUUAGAUAUCACGAAGAACUCCGAUUGCGAAGGCAGUUCACUGGACUGCAACUGACACUGAGGCUCGAAAGUGUGGGUAUCAAACAGGAUUAGAUACACGGGUAGUC
rnacentral:rRNA from 1 species